CCUACGGGGGGCAGCAGUGGGGAAUAUUUGGCAAUGGGCGAAAGCCUGACCCAGCAACGCCGCGUGAAGGAAGAAGGCUUUCGGGUUGUAAACUUCUUGUGACAGGGAAGAGCAGAAGACGGUACCUGUCGAAUAAGCCACGGCUAACUACGUGCCAGCAGCCGCGGUAAUACGUGGGGGGCAAGCGUUGUCCGGAUUUACUGGGUGGAAAGGGCGUGUAGCCGGGCUGACAAGUAAGUUGUGAAAGCCGGGGGCUCAACCCCCGAACUGCACUUGAAACUGUGGGUCUUGAGUAUCGGAGAGGCAGGCGGAAUUCCUAGUGUAGCGGUGAAAUGCGUAGAUAUUAGGAGGAACACCAGUGGCGAAGGCGGCCUGCUGGACGACAACUGACGGUGAGGCGCGAAAGCGUGGGGAGCAAACAGGAUUAGAUACCCCUGUAGUC
rnacentral:rRNA from 1 species